CCUCUCACCCCCUGCAAGAUCCCAGUGCGUAUCUCCGGCCCCUUGGUGUCCAGACCUAUGGCCACGGGUCGGUUGCUGAGCGGAGAAGUUGCAAAGCUCUUCACCGCCUCCCGGAUGUUGGCGAUGGACUUAGCGUGGUACUGGGACGGGAACCGAGUGGGGAUUUCAGAGCCUUGAUCAUCUCCUUGAGGCGCUCCACGGAGCGAGAUGCCGGCCCUGGAACCAGAGAUCCUGUUCGGACAACUUUCUACCCAAACCUGAGAGACAAUCAAACCCAUCACAGAGACGCCCUGUGCUGCAAAAGUCUUGUUACCUGACCUUUAUUUCCUGACAAAACCCCUGCUCACAGGUCAGAAGCGCCCUUCCCCUCUCCAGCCAACACCUGCCUCCUUGGGGAGGCAGUACUGCGGGUCUUGGAGAGGAGGGUCCUCAGCCAGGCCAGAGGUAAAUGUGUAAUGUAAAGUGGCAGUAGCUGUGGCAGUGAUGAAAGUGCUGCAGUGGUGGUGAGGAUGGGGGUACGGACCCCCACGUCGGAAAGGGGAUGGGUGCCAGCUCAGAGAAUUUGGGGUUCAGGGCUUUAGAGCUGAGAGGAUUCAUAUUGAGGACAGUUGAGUUCUGUCCCAACCAGAUAAAGCAGCUGUGUGACAGAGAGUCAGCCGGCCAGCCUCUCCAGGCACUACCUAAAGCCCGUUCUUCCUGUGGGGGAAGAAUGCCCCACUCUCUUCUCUGUCAUUUCCCCUUCACUCCCCUGUGAAUUAGCCUCAUGGCUUUAAAUGCCAUCUAUAAACUGACCACUACCAAAUUUAAAUCUGCAGUUCAAACCUCUCUCCCAAAUCCACAGUUGUGUGUCUGAUUGCCUACUUUGCAUCACACUUGGAUGUCUGAUGCGCAUCUCAAUCUCAACAUGCCCCAAACUGAAAUCUUGAUCUCCUUCCCACUGCCCCCAGCCCUUUCCACCACAAUCUUUCCUGCUCAGUUGGUAAUGCAUCCUUCUAGAUGGUCGUGCCAGAAACCUUGGAGGAAAUCCUGUGAGCUCUACCUUCAAAACACGUUCAGAAUCUGAUCACUUCUUACCACCUCUACUGUCACCAUGUGGUCUAAGCCAGAAAUACUGCAGGAGCAGCUUCUGCCCUUGCCUGCACCCAAAACCCCAAUCAAUUUUCAAUACAGCAGCCUGAGUUAUUCUGUUAAAACAUAAGGAGGAGCGUUGGUACUCUCUUCUCAAAACUCUACAGUAGUUUCCCAUUUCACUUGGAAGAAAACUCAACUCAAAUUCUGAAAAAGGCCUAUGAAAGCACUCUGUGGCUUACCCCUCCCCUUCAAUCUCCAGUUCUGCUACUCUUCCCCUUUGAUGGUUUCUAGCCAUUCCAGCCUCCUUGACUUAGGGCCUUUUCACUGACUGUUCCCUCUGUCUGGAACUUUCUUCCCCCAACCCAUCUGCAUGGCUCAUUCUGUCAUCUCCUUCGUAUCUUUGCUCAGGUCUUAAUUUUCUGAACAAGGCUACCUUGACUCUAUGUAGGACUGUAAUCUGUCUCCCUCCCUCACAUCCCUAAUGCUCCUUACCAGGCUCUGUUUUUUGUUUUACCAUAUUCUUAACACUUUCUCACAUACCUAAAAAGUUAUUUAAAAAUAUGUAUUAUCUCUAUUAUUUAUUGCCUAGAUUGUCAGCUCCCCAAAGGUAGGAAUCUUCAUUUCAUUGGUCUCUUCCCAGGGCCCAAAACCUUGCUUACCAAGUGCUCAACAAAUAUUUUUUGAAUGACUGACUCCAUCAAACGUGGAGAAGUCUUGAAAUAGACAAAAGAUGGGGAAGCACCUUGAGGAGCACCCAGGAGGCCCUGUGCUGCUGCGGGGGAGGGGACUGCUUACCGAUGGUGGCAAUGAUGCUGGUGCUGCGAGCGGCCACGGGCUCGGAGUCAAUGUCCAACAGGCAGAGGUGUUCCAGGAAGGUGUCUGCCAUAGCGGCUGACAGCUGCUGCCGCUGGAAGAAGGUGACUGGCUUCCCGGCCCUCUCCUCUGAGUUUCCUUGGCUCCUUCAAUGCUACUUGAUCCAGUGCAGCCCAGCCCAGAUGAGCUCCCCUUCGAGCCACACCCUCCAUGCCGCUGAACGUCUGCCAGUCUCUGGGGGUCUGCACCACAGUAUCAGGCUAUUGAAGCCCCAGGGCUCAGCUGGGCUGGGGAUCAGUCCUGCAUACUGGUUAAAGUGUUACCAGUGUCUCCUGUGUCACUGGAAGCCUUGUGCACUAGGGGCCAGAGUCCAGGAGCCACAGGACAACCCCUCUGCCUAGCCUAUAGCGCUGGUAGAAGAAGCCCAGACCAGGGUUCAUAACUUAACCCAGGGGAGACUCCCAUGAACACUGAAUCUCCCCAAGUCCCCCCUGGCCAGCAGCAGAUAUUGGUCAUUUGGACCAUCUACCCCCAUUUCUGACCUCCAUCCUCAUUUUCCCUCUCUGUUCAAUAGCUUCUGUUGCCCUUUCUUACCUCCUGGAGCCCCAAUCAGGAUGGACUUUGCUAAGUCUCUUUGAGACUUAUGGAUCCUUGACCAGAGCUUCUGGGAUUGCAUGUCCUCUUGCAUGGAC